rnacentral:rRNA from 1 species
AUUGAACGCUGGCGGCAGGCCUAACACAUGCAAGUCGAACGGUAACAGGAAACAGCUUGCUGUUUCGCUGACGAGUGGCGGACGGGUGAGUAAUGUCUGGGAAACUGCCUGAUGGAGGGGGAUAACUACUGGAAACGGUAGCUAAUACCGCAUAACGUCGCAAGACCAAAGAGGGGGACCUUCGGGCCUCUUGCCAUCGGAUGUGCCCAGAUGGGAUUAGCUAGUAGGUGGGGUAACGGCUCACCUAGGCGACGAUCCCUAGCUGGUCUGAGAGGAUGACCAGCCACACUGGAACUGAGACACGGUCCAGACUCCUACGGGAGGCAGCAGUGGGGAAUAUUGCACAAUGGGCGCAAGCCUGAUGCAGCCAUGCCGCGUGUAUGAAGAAGGCCUUCGGGUUGUAAAGUACUUUCAGCGGGGAGGAAGGGAGUAAAGUUAAUACCUUUGCUCAUUGACGGUACCCGCAGAAGAAGCACCGGCUAACUCCGUG